UACGGAGGGUGCAAGCGUUAUCCGGAUUCACUGGGUUUAAAGGGUGCGUAGGUGGGAUGGUAAGUCCGUGGUGAAAUCUCCAAGCUUAACUUGGAAACUGCCGUGGAUACUAUCACUCUUGAAUCUCGUGGAGGUAAGCGGAAUAUGUCAUGUAGCGGUGAAAUGCUUAGAUAUGACAUAGAACACCGAUAGCGAAGGCAGCUUGCUACACGAGUAUUGACACUGAGGCACGAAAGCGUGGGGAUCAAACAGG
rnacentral:rRNA from 1 species